GAUGAACGCUGGCGGCGUGCUUAACACAUGCAAGUCGAACGAAGCACUUUGGACGGAUUCUUCGGAUGAAGUCCUUAGUGACUGAGUGGCGGACGGGUGAGUAUCGCGUGGGUAACCUGCCUCAUACAGGGGGAUAACAGUUAGAAAUGGCUGCUAAUACCGCAUAAGCGCACGGUACCGCAUGGUACAGUGUGAAAAACUCCGGUGGUAUGAGAUGGACCCGCGUUGGAUUAGCUAGUUGGCAGGGUAACGGCCUACCAAGGCGACGAUCCACAGCCGGCCCGAGAGGGUGGACGGCCACAUUGGGACUGAGACACGGCCCAGACUCCUACGGGAGGCAGCAGUGGGGAAUAUUGCACAAUGGGGGAAACCCUGAUGCAGCGACGCCGCGUGAGCGAAGAAGUAUUUCGGUAUGUAAAGCUCUAUCAGCAGGGAAGAAAAUGACGGUACCUGACUAAGAAGCCCCGGCUAACUACGUGCCAGCAGCCGCAGUAAUAC
rnacentral:rRNA from 1 species